rnacentral:misc_RNA from 1 species
AGCAAAAGAAAAGGAUGGGUUAAAAAAUUGGCAAAACUGAAAUGCAUUGUUUGUUUGUGAGAUUCUCCAAAUCCAGAAACUAAACAUGACUCGACUGAGGGUGACUUCACAACUGAUGAUGAUGAUAAGUCCAUCUCUGCAAGGAAGAAUAGGGUUAAGUUUAGAAGAUAUGAUGGUGAAAAUUGCAUUGUUGGAGACAAUGUACGGCAUGGAACAACAAUUACAGAGGAAGAUGUUGAUUUGCUUGA